rnacentral:rRNA from 1 species
GAUGAACGCUGGCGGCGUGCUUAACACAUGCAAGUCGAGCGAGGACUUCGGUUCUAGCGGCGGACGGGUGAGUAACGCGUGGGAAUGUGCCCUUCUCUACGGAAUAGCCCUGGGAAACUGGGAGUAAUACCGUAUACGCCCUAUUGGGGAAAGAUUUAUCGGAGAAGGAUCAGCCCGCGUUGGAUUAGGUAGUUGGUGGGGUAAUGGCCUACCAAGCCGACGAUCCAUAGCUGGUUUGAGAGGAUGAUCAGCCACACUGGGACUGAGACACGGCCCAGACUCCUCCGGGAGGCGCCAGGGGGGAUUGUUAAACAAGGGGGGAACCCCUAAUCGACCCUUCCGGGGUGAGUAAUGAAGCCCUAGGGGUUGAAAACCUCUUUCAGCGGGGAAGAUAAUGACGGUACCAGAAAAAAAACCCCCGGCUAACCCGGUG